CCGAGUGGCGCGAAAUUCCUGUCGUGAGACGGGGGAAGCUACCCGACCUUUUGUCAUUUUGUCAAGUCUGGCUGGCGGGAUUGCAUUCGUGAGAAGCGAAUGUGGAUUUCGGCAGACGGACCAAAACUUCGGCGGAAGAGGUAGGCGUCGACCUGCCCGCCGCCGGCCGUAGAAGACAAUAACAUUCUUGAGAGCAAACUGAAGUCUAAGACGAUCCUUGAAAAAGGAAUAACCAAAAAAAAGCA
rnacentral:misc_RNA from 1 species